CUACGGGCGGCAGCAGUGAGGAAUAUUGCACAAUGGGGGGAACCCUGAUGCAGCAACGCCGCGUGGAGGAUGACGCAUUUCGGUGUGUAAACUCCUUUUAUAUGUCAAGAAAAUGACGGUAGCAUAUGAAUAAGCACCGGCUAACUCCGUGCCAGCAGCCGCGGUAAUACGGAGGGUGCAAGCGUUACUCGGAAUCACUGGGCGUAAAGGACGCGUAGGCGGGCUUGUAAGUCAGGUGUGAAAUCCUACAGCUUAACUGUAGAACUGCACUUGAAACUACGAGUCUAGAGUAUGGGAGGGGAAGAUGGAAUUAGUGGUGUAGGGGUAAAAUCCGUAGAUAUCACUAGGAAUACCUAAAGCGAAGGCGAUCUUCUGGAACAUAACUGACGCUAAGGCGUGAAAGCGUGGGGAGCAAACAGGAUUAGAUACCCGCGUAGUC
rnacentral:rRNA from 1 species